rnacentral:rRNA from 1 species
UGCGUAGGCCGCACGGUAAGUCAGAGGUGAAAUCCCGGAGCUCAACUCCGGAAUUGCCUCCGAUACUGCCGUGCUUGAGGACUGGAGAGGAGUCUGGAAUUCACAGUGGAGCAGUGAAAUGCGUAGAUAUUGUGAGGAACACUAGUGGCGAAGGCGAGACUCUGGACAGUUCCUGACGCUGAGGCACGAGGGCCAGGGGAGCAAACG